rnacentral:rRNA from 1 species
GACGAACGCUGGCGGCGCACUUAACACAUGCAAGUCGAACGGAAAGGCCUGCUUUCCCUUGUGGAUUGCGGGUACUCGAGUGGCGAACGGGUGAGUAACACGUGAGUGAUCUGCCCCCAACUUGGGUAUAAGCCUGGGAAACUGGGUCUAAUUCCCGAUAGGACUGCAGGGUGGUGCCUGUGGUGGAAAACGAUUUUCUAGUGGUUGGGGAUGAGCUCGCGGCCUAUCAGCUUGUUGGUGGGGUAAUGGCCUACCAAGGCGGCGACGGGUAGCCGGCCUGAGAGGGUGGACGGGCACAUUAGGACUGAGAGACGGCCCAGACUCCGACGGGAGGCAGCAGUGGGGAAGAUUGCACAAUGGGCGGAAGCCUGAUGCAGCGACGCCGCGUGGGGGAUGACGGCCUUCGGGUUGUAAACUCCUUUCGACCGCGAGGAAGCCACCUGGUUGGAAGGGUGGUGACGGUAGUGGUAGAAGAAGCGCCGGCUAACUACGU